rnacentral:rRNA from 1 species
AGAACGAACGCUGGCGGCAUGCCUAAUACAUGCAAGUCGAACGAACACUUCGGUGUUAGUGGCGCACGGGUGCGUAACGCGUGGGAAUCUGCCCUUGGGUUCGGAAUAACAGUUGGAAACGACUGCUAAUACCGGAUGAUGACGAAAGUCCAAAGAUUUAUCGCCCAGGGAUGAGCCCGCGUAGGAUUAGCUAGUUGGUGAGGUAAAGGCUCACCAAGGCGACGAUCUGUAGCUGGUUUGAGAGGACGACCAGCCACACGUGGGACUGAGACACGGCCCAGACUCCUACGGGAGGCAGCAGUGGGUAAUUUGGACAAGUGGGGAACCCUGAUCAGCCAUCCCGCGUAGUGCGAUGAACGGUCCGUUGGGUUAGUAAGUCUACGUUUU